rnacentral:rRNA from 1 species
UGGGGAAUAUUGGACAAUGGGGGGAACCCUGAUCCAGCCAUGCCGCGUGUGUGAAGAAGGCCUUAUGGUUGUAAAGCACUUUAAGCGAGGAGGAGGGUACUGGUAUUAAUACUACCAGCUACUGGACGUUACUCGCAGAAUAAGCACCGGCUAACUCUGUGCCAGCAGCCGCGGUAAUACAGAGGGUGCGAGCGUUAAUCGGAUUUACUGGGCGUAAAGCGUGCGUAGGCGGCUAAUUGAGUCGGAUGUGAAAUCCCCGAGCUUAACUUGGGAAUUGCAUUCGAUACUGGUUAACUAGAGUGUGGGAGAGGAUGGUAGAAUUCCAGGUGUAGCGGUGAAAUGCGUAGAGAUCUGGAGGAAUACCGAUGGCGAAGGCAGCCAUCUGGCCUAACACUGACGCUGAGGUACGAAAGCAUGGGGAGCAAACAGG